rnacentral:lncRNA from 1 species
UUAUAUUGUGAAUAUUAGGUUAAAUUAUAUCUUUGAAUUUGGUAGUUGUUAAUGCAAUUUAGAGAAUCCUUUUAGAAUUGGGGUUUUAUUGAUUUGAUAAUCCCUUUAAUUGUUAGUAGGUUCCAUCUAAUAAGAUGUAAUAUCAUGGAAUUUACAAUUAAUUUAGACUAUUGAUUUGGUUUGGUUUAUUAUCAUGGGAUUUACAAUUA